GUAGAGAUGGUCGAGAUAGGCGGUGGGUUGUAAUUCCAUUUACGAGGUGCAAGCCCUCUCUUUACA
rnacentral:tRNA from 1 species